rnacentral:rRNA from 1 species
CCUACGGGAGGCAGCAGUGGGGAAUUUUGCGCAAUGGGCGAAAGCCUGACGCAGCAACGCCGCGUGAGUGAUGAAGGCCUUCGGGUCGUAAAGCUCUGUCAGUGGGGAAGAACCGCCGGGUGGUUAAUACCUGCCUGGUCUGACGGUACCCACAAAGGAAGCACCGGCU